AUUGAACGCUGGCGGAAUGCUUUACACAUGCAAGUCGAACGGUAGAGGGGGCAACCCCUCGAGAGUGGCGAACGGGUGAGUAAUAUAUCGGAACGUGCCCAGUCGUGGGGGAAAACGUAGCGAAAGUUACGCUAAUACCGCAUACGAUCUAAGGAUGAAAGCGGGGGAUCGCAAGACCUCGCGCGAUUGGAGCGGCCGAUAUCAGACUAGGUAGUUGGUGGGGUAAAGGCUCACCAAGCCAACGAUCUGUAGCUGGUCUGAGAGGACGACCAGCCGCGAUGGAACUGAGACACGGUCCAGACUCCUACGGGAGGCAGCAGUGGGGCAUUUUGGACAAUGGACGCAAGUCUGAUCCAGCCAUUCCGCGUGCAGGAUGAAGUCCCUCGGGUUGUAAACUGCUUUUGUACGGAACGAAAAGGUCUCUCUUAAUACGGGGGACUCAUGACGGUACCGUAAGAAUAAGCACCGGCUAACUACGUGCCAGCCGCCGCCGUAACAC
rnacentral:rRNA from 1 species